CGCUCGCUCCGCGCUCGCCGCCCUGUAACUUCUGUUCUGGGAAGUGGUGCCAGGAAUAGCCCAGCGGAGCCGCCUGCAGCGCGGAGCGCUCCCUCCCGCCGCGGCCAGGGCGGGCUGCGGCUCCCGGGCCUCCGCCUCUUCCCCGUGCAACACCAGCCCCUCCGCCACUGUCAAGAGAGAUGGUGAUGAGCCUUUCCAAAAAGAGGGAGAGGAAUGACCUGCCUUAAGAUAAACGCGUGAAGCGGGCGCCCCUUGGCCGUUGGAAUAUUUCUUGUCUGUCUUUAUAUAUAAAGAAGCACCGCCAGCCGCCUCACUCCGGGCGAGCCCUCAGCAAAGGAGCAACACGAGCGCCCGGCGGGAUCAGCAGCAGCAGCAACAACAACAACAAGGGCACCGGGAGGGCUUCCCUCCUUCCUCCUCGGUGACUUCCCAGAUCACCCUCUGCAUGGCAGGAAAGAGAAAGACACAUGGGAUGAUGGAGUUCCUUUACGUACACCUCUCCAAAACUUCAGUGCAGCAUAUUUUCCACAAAUGGAGUGACUAUGAGAGAAACCUUUUAAUUUUCUUUCUCUUUCUCACUCACAAUUUUGCUAAGUAAAGAAGAAAAUGUGGAUGUUAAAUACACAAUUUUGGAUAUAUGCUGGUUGAGGAUGAGGCUUAGAGGGGAAGAUGAAUAAGAUGGGGAGAGGAGGUUUGGAUGUGACUGACAGUGGAUGCCUACAGGAAGUUAUUUUUAUCAGAUCAGGUUUCCCUUUAACACUGUCUUCAACCUAAAGAAUUUUGGUAUAAGAGCUUUUAAAAUCCCUGCCCAGUUGCAAGUCGUACAAGCAUGUGUUGAUGAGAACUGAGGUCCUACAGAAGGCACCAUUUAGGAUACAGUGAUAGCAUCCUCUAGCUUUCAUUGUUUGACAUCUCCGCAGAUAGCUUACACACAGAAUACAAUGCACGCUUUUGAUUUAAUUUAUUUGCAGUAUCAUUUGAUCCCGGUCAAUAGUUCGACCCACUUAAAUAGCAAGCAGGGGAAAAAAUGAAACCAGUUUUGACUAAGUCUUUCUCAGUCAAGUGGGUUGUCUGGCGAGCCAAGAGUGUAAUAAAUAGAUUUGGUGGCUAUUUACA
rnacentral:lncRNA from 1 species